rnacentral:misc_RNA from 1 species
UGGAAAUCACUGAUAAGCAAUGGUAAUAGAGAUGGUAUUGAUGAGAAUUUUUGUUUUAAGGAAUAUUUAAGGAUAUGAUAAUGCGGAGAGUGGUGGAUAGGCCAAACUUCAAAAAUCUCAUGGGCGAAAAUUCUUUAAAGGAAGAGAAGAGUGUAAAAUUUGGAUUAAGUUGAAACUCCUAUUAAUCAGAAUUUUGAGAAUUCAAUAAUGAAUUCUUUUUGAAGGGGAGAAGAAUGUAAUACUUGAAUUUUUGGAGAAUAUAACCUCUGCACCAUCAAUGUAUGCAAUAUAUAAUUAUAUGCACGGUACUAUUUAGAUAUACGACCAUUACAAAUAUUACAUUUUUGCACUUGCUAUGCUAAGAAUGAUAAUAUAGUUAUUUUACAUUUUAAGACUUGAUGGAGGUAGGUGAAACAUGUAAUUUAAUAUGAACCAUUGGAUCAAGAUAUAUGGAAUAUGGUGUUGCAAGAAAUUUGUUGAGUUCAAAUAAUAUAUGAAGUUGAUUUUACAACCAAGUUAGAGUUAUGAGAAAGAUUGAUAAUCUCUCAAGAAGAAAAUAAUUUAUAGGGAGGAAUGUGAAAAUUGCAUUGGACUUAAAAGUAAUGUUUAUAGAGUCUUGGAGUGAAAAAUUAAAUAUUUCAAAGGUUGAAGGACUAAAUGGUAAUUUUUUCAGAGGAACAAAAUCAGUAGAGCAUCCGCUGGGAACUCAAAUAUGGUAGGUAAAAAAAAAAAAGAAAAUAAGGGUUGAAAUUUGCUAAGUUUAAAAGCACUGUUAUUAAAGGCGCGCCUCAGGCGCGGGCUCAAGGCUCACAAGGCUCAAA